AACAAGUGUCGCCAAAAACAUGGCGGAUUUUCAAGGAAUUUCACGUUUGCUGACGCCAGAAUGACGCCACUGGUCCUAAAUCCUCGUGGUAAUUACCACUGAGCAAGGCUCAUUUUGAGCCCGCCACCACUUUGACAUCCCCCUGAUUUUCGCAAAAAUAUUUUAGCUUUUUGUUUUGGAGUUUGCCUUGGUGUUCGCCUUCUCUUCGACAUUUUAACAUUUGUUUCGAGUUGCACAAGUGGCAAGAAUCAUACUGGCUAGUGAAAGACAGGGAACGAAUAUUCAAACCUCACGGAAAUUUUGGAAAAACGUUAUUUGUAAGUAUAACAGUAAAAAUAUACUGUUUAUAUGUUCAAUAUUUUUUGUGCUAGAGUAGCUAGCCGCUAGGUCAAAACAAAGCGAAAUAAACAGUCUAUUUGUACUGUGUAGUGGACAAUUUUAGCAACUGGUGUAUGCAAUUAGGUUGCCCAAACUAUAUUAAUACGAGAAACAGUCUUCCUCGAAAGAAAAUGGUUGAAAUUUCAGAUUUUAGUUUCAUUUGUUAUUUCAAAUAAUUUUUACGAUAUAUAAAAUGCCAGUUGACCACCAUCUGCUUCAUGAUACUACUUAGUAAAAUUAAAGUGCUUUCUAUUUAUAUUAGUAUAGCUAUAGAGGAAGACCUUUUUAUUAAAGCCAGAACUAUCAUGGCUUUGAAUGUUUUCAAUCCAUGUACUAAUAAUACUGGCCACUGAUGGCACAUGGCAAAGAAAUUAUGUGUAGAAUUAUCAAGUCUAUCAAGAUCCAAAAGUUGGCAGUUCAAUUCUACCAACUUCUGUUGAAGCUAGUUUCAUUUUCUCUAGAAAUUGCAUGAAUAAAAUCAAUAUAUUUCAUAAUUAACCCAUUGAGCCGCAAUGCGUCCUACUUAUUCUUUUUUACUUGUCUAAAGCCAGACAAUUUUACUUGUCAAUGGGGAAGCUCUGCAGCUCAUUGGGUUAACCAAAAAAAUCUGACUGUAAUCUCUAGUUAACCCAUUGAGCCGCAAUGUGCCCAACUUACUUUUUUUACUUGUUUAAAGCCAGACAAUAUUACUCGUCAAUUGGGAAGCACUGCAACUUAAUGGGUUAAGAAAAUGAAACAUUCUUGAGUGAUAUUUGACUGUUGGUAAUUCAUGCAUUUUUGGAGGAAAAUAUUUUACACAGGGGUUAUUCGCCUGACACCGAACCCAAAUAUUUACAUGCUAUUUGUCUGAACUAUUUUCCUCAUUCUUUGAACAUGCUAAAAUGAUACAAAAUAAAUUUCAGUUGAAUUCAAGCAUGUCCUCGGGCCCAAGUUGUCAAGACUAUCACCUUAAUUGUUGGUAGCAUAUAUCUGCUUAAGCCCUGGGUUCAAAUGAGUGGAAUUUCAAGAGCAUUCUGACUGGCUUUGUGCAAACAGGUGGCCUUACCGGUUAGGAUGAGGGCCAGUUAAGGUUAUGGUUGGGUGCAGGCAAGGUUCAUGUAAACUUAUUGUUAGCAAGAGUGUUAUGUGUACAUAAUCAUGUGUCAUGUGUUGGAUUAAUGGCAUUUAAACACUGGGAUCCAGUGUCAAACAAUAACCACAACAAUUAUUAUAUAAAGUACUUGGUUGUUUUAGUGUAAUAUUAAUUUCUCACAUAAAUUUUUUUUCAGAAAUAAAGCACCAUUGAGCAACUUGUUGGGAAAGAGGAGUCACAAACUGUUGAUGACUAUAUUUAAUUAACUACAUCCACAUAAAAUGCAAUUUUAUUAACAGUAUAUUGAUUUAUGGGUUAUUAGAUUACAUUAUUUUCAUAUUAAUUAAAAAUAAAAUUAAAAAAUUAAAUGACAAAAUCAGUGUGAAAAUAUUGCAAUAAUCAAUUAAAAUGUCAAACCAGCCAAUUGUUUCAAUUAUGCAUUUGUGAGUGUAACCUAACCCCCCCCCCCCUUGAGAGAACCCUAUUAUCCCUUUUGAUAAGUGGCGAUGCACCAUAUAAUUUUCCUGUCAAAUGCCAGACAAAUAUACUUGUC